UACGAAGGGGGCUAGCGUUGCUCGGAAUCACUGGGCGUAAAGGGUGCGUAGGCGGGUCUUUAAGUCAGGGGUGAAAUCCUGGAGCUCAACUCCAGAACUGCCUUUGAUACUGAGGAUCUUGAGUUCGGGAGAGGUGAGUGGAACUGCGAGUGUAGAGGUGAAAUUCGUAGAUAUUCGGAGGGUUGCGAAGUGGCGAAGGCAUGUUACUAUAGUAGACUGACGCUGAGGUACGAAGGCAUGGGCAUCGAACGGG
rnacentral:rRNA from 1 species